rnacentral:rRNA from 1 species
GACGGAAGGUGCAAGCGUUGCUCGGAAUCACUGGGCGUAAAGGGUGCGUAGGCGGGUAUAUAAGUCAGUGGUGAAAGCUCCGGGCUUAACUUGGAAACUGCCAUUGAUACUGUGUAUCUUGAAUGUCGUAGAGGUUAGCGGAAUGUUGCAUGUAGCGGUGAAAUGCUUAGAUAUGUUACAGAACACCAAUUGCGAAGGCAGCUAACUAUGCGAUAAUUGACGCUGAGGCACGAAAGCGUGGGGAGCAAACAGG